CCUACGGGAGGCAGCAGUGGGGAAUAUUGCACAAUGGGGGAAACCCUGAUGCAGCGACGCCGCGUGAGUGAAGAAGUAUUUCGGUAUGUAAAGCUCUAUCAGCAGGGAAGAAAAUGACGGUACGUGAUUAAGAAGCCCCGGGUAACUUCGUGCCAGCAGCCGCGGUGAUAAGUAGGGAGCCAGCGUUAUCCGGAUUUACUGGGUGUUAAGGGAGCGUAGACGGCAGCACAAGUCUGGAGUGAAAUGCCGGGGGUUAAACCCGGAACUGCCUUGGAAACUGUGCAGCUAGAGUGGAGGAGAGGUAAGUGGAAUUCCUGGUGUAGCGGUGAAAUGCGUAGAUAUUAGGAGGAACACCAGUGGCGAAGGCAGCUUACUGGACUGUAACUGACGUUGAGGCUCGAAAGCGUGGGGAGCAAACAGGAUUAGAUACCCGAGUAGUC
rnacentral:rRNA from 1 species